UCUGAUGUGAAAGCCCACGGGCUCAACCGUGGAGGGUCAUUGGAAACUGGGGAACUUGAGUGCAGAAGAGAAAAGCGGAAUUCCACGUGUAGCGGUGAAAUGCGUAGAGAUGUGGAGGAACACCAGUGGCGAAGGCGGCUUUUUGGUCUGUAACUGACGCUGAGGCGCGAAAGCGUGGGGAGCAAACAGGAUUAGAUACCC
rnacentral:rRNA from 1 species